AUGAAGGAUGUGAGGCCUGAUCGCAGCUAUCAGUGCAUCAUAGUCGAUGAGGUGGACUCCCUGCUGCUGGAUCAGGGAGUGCAGCUGACCUACCUGUCCAGCCCCAUGGUCUCCAUGCAGCACCUCAACAUUAUUCUGGCCAUGAUCUGGAGCCACGUCAGCCAGUAUGGCUUCCUGUCUACAGGACAGCAGAUAUUUGUCAGAGGUCCUCCUGCUUCUUUCUUCAAGGCCAUUUUUGACUCAAUGAACACAGAAGGAACUGAAAUUAAUAGUCCAAUGGAUAUUUUAAGUAUCGCUGAAAAAUCCAACAUUGUGCCAAAAGGAUUUACAGAAGAUUUCUACAAAAGUGAAAAAGAUGAACUUCUCAGGAAGCUGAGCACUGUCAGUCAGGAUGCUAUGAUAGAUUUUUUCACAGCACUUGAGGACUAUGUUCCUUAUGGUUUCACUGUUUACACCUUAGAUGGCGAUGGAUCGCUCUGUCUUCGAAAGUGUAGCCGGUACAAAGAGCAGGACACACCAGAACUAACAUUCCUUGUCUUGGAGGAAGGCCGGUGUUGUCCUCUCUAUGAUUCAGAGGAAACCGUCAUCAAGCCCAUUGCACAGUUAAUCUCAGAGAGGAUUCAGUACAGCCCAUGUCCAAACAGUGAAGGCAAAAUCAGCAUCCCUGAAUUCCUGAAGAACCUGGUGGAGAUGAAAGUGUCAGUGUGGGUUCAGAGCGCCUUCCUGGCUUUACAACUGAGGGAGGGACAGGAAUAUGUUGUAGAAAAAGAUCGUGUCUGUCCGGUGGAUUUCAGAUCCACUGGUAUUGUUGAACUGAACAAGAAGUGGGGAGAUGGUCUGCAGCAGUUUGUUGAGAUUAAACACCAAAUCAAACUGAGCACAAUAUCAACAGUGACAAACUACAUUUCUAACAUCUCCCUGUUUAAAAAGUACAACGGGAAAAUAUACGGAACUACAGGAACACUUGGGAGCAGAACAGACAUCCUCUUUUUGCAGGAGCUAUAUCCAGAUCUGUCAGCCUGCAAGAUGCCAACAUUCAACAGGAAGAAGUUAUUUGAGGUCAAAGGUUCUCUGAAGACUUCAGCUGAAGAGUGGAAAUCUGAAAUAAGACGAGCAGUUUUGACUCAGAUUUCUCCAAAUCCAUACAGAGGUGGGAGAGCAGCCCUGGUGAUCUGUGAAACUAUCAACAAAGCCAACAAGAUCUAUGAAGAGCUGAAGAGCAGCAACCAAGGAGAAAUCACUCUCUACUGCCGCAGUGACACAGACAGUUUGUGUAAAAUAGAUAGAGAACUGCUUCCUGGUGAUGUCAUUGUUGCCACAAACCUCGCCGGGCGAGGCACCGACAUAAAAGUGUCCAAAGAAGUGAACAAUAAUGGAGGAUUAUUUGUGGUCCUCUCCUUCCUUUCUGAGAACACAAGAGUGGAGCUCCAGGCUUUUGGUCGAACUGCACGUAAAGGUAAACCUGGAUCUGCUCAGAUAAUCAUGUCGACUGAUCACCUGCAGCCGGCCUUCAGGACGGUGACUUCUCUGGAGGAAGCCAAGAGCACCAGGGACAGACUUUCAGCAGAAAAGAUAAAUCACAUGAAGAACGAUGUCACUGAGUUAAAACUGAGAGAGGACCUGUUUUCAGAGUACCUCAAAACUCUCCAAGACAUUCAUAAGAACACAGAUGAAGAUGAAAAAAGAGCUGUUGUUGCCGUCAUGAAUGAGUUCUGGGGGAUUUGGUUGCAAACUAAAUCAGAAGAAAUUGAACAGUUGAAGAGAAACGAGUUGCAAACAAGUUUAAAAGCUGAGUUGUCUUCAGCAAAAAGUCAGUCUCAGAGUCAGACUUCACCGUGUUCCAGCAUUUAUCACUACAUCAAGUUUGGAAAUAUCGCACUGAGUGACAAACAAUGGAACACCAGCAUCAGGCUGUUUGAAAGAGCCAUGGAACAAGAUGAAAGCUGGGCAGCCAUAGCUUUUUACAAUCAUGCAUACUGCAUUAUACAGCAGCAGAGUGCAGAUUACCUAGCUAAGGCCAGAGACGAUCUAAUGAAGGCAAAAGAGUCUCUGAAGUAUCUCAGUGAGGAGUGCAUGAUCUGUCUGCAGUUGGUAAAAAUGUCCUCUGCUAACUUGACCAACAGUGACGCGAGCAGCCUCGAGAAACAGUUAACAAACAAGUGCACCAUGUUGAGUUACUUCGACAAAAACAUCAGUGAGGCCAUCAAAAAGCUGGAUGAAAUCAAAGAAGGAGGGAAGGACGCAGUGGCCAAAAAAUCACCUAUUUGCUCCCUGGUGAAAAGUGCGGACAAAGAUCUCCAAGUGGAAGCCGACAACCUCUACAGCCAAGGUCUGAAAUAUGUGUUUUCCGUGGAAGUAGAACCUUGUUUCCCAUGGGGAGCUCUGGUAGAGUUCCUUCUAGGAGUUUUACAGGUUGUUGUAGGAGCAGUGCUCAUUACAGUUACAUUCGGUACAUUUGCUAAUUUCGGCUUGGGACUUAUUGCUGAAGGAAUAACAGACUGCAUCUCUGGCAUAGAGUCUAUGGUGAAAGGAGAAUUCAGCUGGAAAUCAUGGGCUAUUAAUAAAGCCAUUUCCAUCGGUCUAGCUCUUGUUGGUUUUGGAGUUGGAAAGCUGAUUGCAAAGGGCUUCAAAGCUUGUAAGACAGCGAUUAAGGGAUUCGGCAAACAGCUAAAGUCAAUGCCAAAGUUUCUUUCCAGCCAGACUAAAGAGGGUUUGAGUGUUGUAGCAAAGACAAAUAUGAACAAUGCAGGAAUACUGGUUGCUAAAAAAAUGGUAGAGGAAACCAUUAUGUAUGGAAUUGGGAAGGUAGAAGAUAUGAUACUGAAUGAAAUACUCAACAGCAUCAAAGAUCAGGUGAAGGAGAUGAUUGUUAAAAAUGUGAAAUCCAACAUGGAAACAAAGCCCUUGGCUGCAUCAGUAGACUUAAUUAUCUUCUCACAUCUCGAGGAUAAAAAGCAACUUAGUGAUCUCCUGAAGGACGAGAACAGGAGGAAUGAUCUGUUGGCUACCUUCAGACAGUUAAUCAAUGCUGCAGUUCAACCAUUCUAUGCAGACCUCAGCUGGCAGAACAAACUUCACUCAACUAUCUACACAGUGAUUGACAGCGCUAAAGCAAAGGCCUCAGGAAAAGCAGAAAAAAUUCUGAACGUCAUCAAAUUUGCCCACAUGGCGGCACUGGCAGGAGAGGCGGUCUUUGCAGUGAACAGCCUCUCCAGCAAGUUUUUCUCAAACCUUAAAGACCAGCUGGAUAUAUUUACAAGACAAUCAGGUUUUUCAGAAGAAGAGAAGGUGAAUGAGCUGUCUGAUUCUGAUUCAGAGAUGCUGAAAGAAUUCAAGCAGGAUUUAAUCGACACCAUCAGUGCUUCAUUGGCUGAUGCUGUGGUAGAAGUGUUCCACCAGAAGAUCUCAAGUCACAUGGUGUCUCUUGUUCAAGGCAAAAUAAAUGGCUUCUUUCGCUGUCAUGUUAGAACUGAUUUAAACAGUGGUAGAACAGAGGAACUACUCAGAGCUGGACAGAACAACAGAUACAUCGCACACAUGCCAGUAGACAAGAAUCCUCGUCAGGACCUCUCGGUCAAAGCCGUUCAACACUCACAGUCACAUGCUGAGGACAUCAUAAACUCCGGGACUCCAGGCACCAUUCUUGAUAUCAGAGUCCUGUCAGAAGCCACUGGCACUAAUGUUGUCAUCCUAACAGAGGAUAGCAAAGGUCGACUUAUCAAAAUGCAGGAGCUGAGCCCAGGAACCAAACCCUCCAGUCAAACUGUGACACUGAUCUACCGACCAAAGAGUGACCAAUACCCAGACGGACAUUAUGAUGUGCAAAUCAAUAACCAGACAGUGAGCAUAGUCAGCGAACAUGGGGACUGCCUGUUUCAUGCUUGGGCACGAGGCACAAGACCAGAAGCCAGUGAAAGAGAGGUCGCUUCAGAAGCACAACGUCUCCGAUCUUUGGAGAAUAAAACACUCCUCACACAUCCCGGCCAAUGGGAGCCUUUCGUGAAGCGCAAAGUGUGGACUGACUCAAUAAGAGGAGGAGACUGGUUCAUGUCAAAGGGAGCUGCAAACAAGCCUCUGACAGAAGCCGAAGAGAAAGAAAUACUGAAGAAACUUGUUGGACAAAUACAACUCUACAAAGACAAAGCAAAUCAAGGAAUUGGACAUGUGAUCCAUGCAGAUCAUCAGCCACCAGUGAAGUCUAUAGUACUAGCUGGAAAAUUGAACCAGAAUAGCAGAUUAGCAAAAGCCUUUCUUGAGGUGGCAACAAAUUCAUCUCCUCUGAAUGACAAACUGAUUGAUAAAGUAAGAGAGAGUCAUGGCCCUAACCUUCCAACUGUUUAUGUGCCAGCUCAAAUACAUAUGGAGUUUCCCAGUACCAGAUCACCAGCCUACAGGGAACUCUUAGCUGAAUCCAUAAGCAACAAUGAUGUUGAGGCCACCUUCAAACUGAUGAUCAUUGGUUCAAUGCCCAGAUUCAGGUUGAAUAGCAACAACAACUUCAAUAACUUUCAGCACGACACGAUGAGUAAAACCAGGCUCGCUAGAUUUGAAGCCAGUUUUCAGCAACACAGUAUAAAUAUGGUGGAGUGGUGGUCCAACCGGCUUCAAGACAAGGGAGUCAUGACAGAAACCCAGUUAGACAACAUCAGAGAAUGGACAAAGAAGAGCGGCUACAAUGAUCAAAACGAUCGCUACAGGAACAAAGUCUCUGAUCUCCUGUAA
rnacentral:lncRNA from 1 species